rnacentral:rRNA from 1 species
UACGGAGGGUGCGAGCGUUGUCCGGAUUUAUUGGGUUUAAAGGGUGCGUAGGUGGGUUAAUAAGUCAGUGGUGAAAUACGGUUGCUCAACAAUCGAGGUGCCAUUGAUACUGUUAAUCUUGAAACAAGUGGAGGUUGCCGGAAUGGAUGGUGUAGCGGUGAAAUGCAUAGAUAUCAUCCAGAACACCGAUUGCGAAGGCAGGUGACUACGUUUGAUUUGACACUGAGGCACGAAAGCAUGGGAGCAAACAGG